ACCGGAGCCCUGCUCAGUUUUGAGCACAAAGACAGCCUAUCAUUUGUCUUUUAGGCUUCUACUGAGGGGUAUUGAUGCUGUCCAAACAUCCAUAGAUCUAUGCACAGCUAUGUUUGUGUUUUAGAAAUGAUUGAUGCUGCUUAGCAAUGCAGUGGUAAUUAUUAUAGGGAGAAGGGGGUCUUGCGAACAUUCCCUAUGUGUUGACAUGAAGUUCCAAAAUCUCUCUCUCUAAGAUACCUUUUUCUCUGAAAAGCUGCAAACUGGUUGCUAUUGGGCUUGGUGUAUAGGAUCACCUGGACAACGCUGACGAUGGCCACAUUCCAAUUCUAGCACAAUUCUGCUUUGAGAGGACCAGCAGUCCCUUCUCCUCAUGGGCUGGUACUGUUUCAGAUUCAGGAGGACCCUCUUCAUCUGCUGUACUCCAGGCUGGCCAUGGGUUCAGUAUUUCCCUUUUCCCGUGAAUGAUUUUUUUACUCAAAAGUGUUCAUUUUGACCAGAAACCUCUCACCACAAAACUGCUAGUACUGGAAAACAGGACUGUAGAUGAAGGAGCACACAGUUUUGCAGCAUGGUUUUACACCCCUCUCAGCUGAAUGUGACACCAACCCCAAAUCUACCCGUCCUGACCACUGUUACAGGGAUUCUGGCAGGAGUGGAGUUGACAGGAUGCAGCAUCAGUAGAAGUGGAGACUGAACUUCAGCUUGUCUUCCAGCUGCCAACAGAGAGCGGAGGGCAUAAGGGAUCUAGUGUCUCUCUGUCUUUUCUGCUCCAUGUCUAGAUACUACAGAAUGUGCUCUCACACUAGUUUUCUUUGAAGCCUUGCAGGCUUGUGUUGCAGACUCCAAAAAUAUUGCCACAGUUCUCAAGUAAGAAAGGAAAUCUAGAACCUGUGUCCAAUGCAAAAAUAAUCAGAAAAUGAUUGAUGAGAAAAUUGAAGAAAACUGAACAGCUGUUGAGGAGGCCCAAAAACAGAGGAGAAAAAGUGUUUAUUACUGUGCUGCUAAACUCUGAUGCAUAUGCAUUUGCAAUGGCAGCAGGCAGAGG
rnacentral:lncRNA from 1 species